ensembl:lncRNA
CAGAGGUUGCGCAGUAUCGCACAGAAGAAAGUGAGCUGCAGACUGAAGCACGGUGGUGAUGAACAUUUGGGAGAAGAUGAUCUGCAGGAUCCUGCUACUCAUCAUCCUCACCUCAUGUGUCUCUGGUUAGUUUACAGCUUCACUUUAUGAACUCCAAAUAAUGCUCAACAACAGAUUUGUUCCAGUUCUCAGUGUGUCUGCUCCUCUCUUUCCCUCUCUGUCUCCUCAACAGGAUCAUUUGUAGUCAAUGUGACACAGACCUGCUAUCAGGCAGAGGAGAACCACAACAUCACACUGGAGUGGACGUUCACCACCAAACCUGACAGAUCCACCAAAACUCUCAACGUCCUCUGUGAACUGAUAACUGAGCGUACAGAUUCAGUCCUGUAUCGUGUUCAAGAAGGUGUUGAGGUGUCAGAGUCUCAGGAUGAAAAGUUUUCAGGACGAGUUGAGAGUGACAAAGACGCCCUCAGAGAAGGACGAAUCAGACUUCAACUGUUUAGACUCAGGACUGAUGACUCGGGUCUGUACCUGUGUGAACUGAACACAGAUUAUGGCUUUGGCUCAGCCAGAUGUAGACUCAGCAUCAGUGCUUCGGAUGACCCCAAACGUCCAAGUCCAACAGUGAACACACAACCAGAGAGUCGAGGAUGGCUCAACCUGUAUCCUUUACUUAUACUGCCAGCAGCAGCUUUAUUGAUCAAACUCUGUUAUAAAAUCAUAAAACGAAAACAUAACCUAAAUCUAAACAGUCACCGCCUAGGCAGCGAAUGCAGUGAAGCAGUAGUCAACUUGAAUAAUUCAGAUGCCACUCACCUUGCUGCUUCAUUAGAAGCCACAUCCAUCAUCUUCUGAGUGUGGACAUGACUUCCCUGAACUCCAAAGAUUGUCAUGUUAACAGCUGGGUCUGCAGUGGAAGAUUUGUGGGAGCAUCAACCUCAGUGAGAGCUGAGAAACACUGUCUGCAGUCUGUAGCCAUCAUCAAAAACACUGAUGGAAACAUUCAAAGCUCUUGUCACGUAUAUCAUUAAUAAUAUUUCCUUCCUCUUUUGGUUCUAACAUUUGUUUUUGUUAGAUAUGGUAUGAGGAAUCUUUAAUUUUUGUCCAUUAGCAUCCAGAGUGAUUGAAAUCACUUGUUGUUCUCCCAUCAGCUGUUAUAAAUUAGUACUGGUUAAAAUGUGCCUGAACUCAAGUUGUUAAAGGAAUUCUAAGUGUUACAGUGAACUCCUAAUAAUUUGACUAUGGAUCACCAUAGGUAGAAUUUACUUUUUCUAAAGUUAAUGUUUAUGUGUAUAUAUUGUAAACAAGUCCUUAUUUAUAUGAAAGAAGUUAUGAUUCUUCUGUAUAUGUGUGUGUCCAAAUCAUUUUAUCAAAGGGUCAGAAGAUCUUAAAGAGGUCUAUAAUACCAAGUGUAAUCUAACAUGUUUGGUACUAUUACUUUACAAGGUGUAUUACAAGAAGGACAGGAGUUUGAUAAUUAUUUAAAAUAUAUAAAACACUGAAUGUGUACAUAUAAAGCAACAAAGUUGUUUACGCCAACUCUUAAUCGUAACAUUAUUCUACUUAAAGAAUAUUUAGUUGGCGUUGAAAUGACUUUUUCUCUCUCAGCACUGAAAAUCUAACACUUGAUUCUGCUGAGUUUUUCUGCUAUCAGCUUCUGUCUCUGCUUUCAUAAAAUAAAAUGAUCGAUCUUUUUGAUCAACAACACAAACAAUGGUGGUGACACUUUCUGUCGAAAAACACUGCGGCAUGAUGGGAACAGCUGCAGUUGUUUACAUAAAUCAGGGGUGUUGAACUCCAGGUUUUGAGGGCCGGUGUCCUGCAGGUUUUAGAUCUCACCCUGGGUCAACACACCUGAAUCACAUGAUUAGUUCAUUACCAGGCCUCUGGAGAACCACUUUAACUGGUUUUGAACUGGUUCUAACUGAUUAUAGUUGUUGUCAGCCAGUUGUGGCAGAUGACUGCCCCUCCCUGAGCCUGGUUCUGCAGAAGGUUUCUCCCACUUUAAAGUAGUGAUGGGCAGAUGAAGCUUCAUGAAGCACUGAAGCUUUUCAUCCAAUUGGUUCACCCCAGUGCAAAGCUUCUUGAAGCUUCAUUUGCUCUAGUAGGACACCUACUGGACGUAAAAAUAUUAGUUGGCAUGAAUUUGAAGUGUGUGGCCUUUUGCACACAGCCUGUAAAUGUCAACAACAAAAGGAGUGUGUAAAACAUCUAUAUUGUAUUGAUGGCAGUAUACUGUGUAUAUUUAUACUGGCAGUAUGGAAAAUGAUCAUUUGGAAAUGCUUAAAAUGGAAAUAAUCAUUUACUGUGAGGUGAGGUGUGGUUGGGGUAUGGACAGUGGUUGUGCUCUUGUAACGUUGAGGUAUGGACAGCUACACACUGAGGCGUCAGUCCUGCCCAUAUUCUAUUCAGUAAAAACUAAAUUUUCACUGCUUUUAUAACCUUUAGUGGGGAGAGCAUAGCUAGGAUUUAAUGAUUUAACAAAUCUUUUGAAUCCUUUGUCCUCCACAAUGCUAAAUGGCUGGGAGUCCUCAAUCACCAUGCUAACCAG